rnacentral:rRNA from 1 species
GACGAACGCUGGCGGCGUGCCUAAUACAUGCAAGUCGAACGCUUCUUUCCUCCCGAGUGCUUGCACUCAAUUGGAAAGAGGAGUGGCGGACGGGUGAGUAACACGUGGGUAACCUACCCAUCAGAGGGGGAUAACACUUGGAAACAGGUGCUAAUACCGCAUAACAGUUUAUGCCGCAUGGCAUAAGAGUGAAAGGCGCUUUCGGGUGUCGCUGAUGGAUGGACCCGCGGUGCAUUAGCUAGUUGGUGAGGUAACGGCUCACCAAGGCCACGAUGCAUAGCCGACCUGAGAGGGUGAUCGGCCACACUGGGACUGAGAUACGGCCCAGACUCCUACGGGAGGCAGCAGUAGGGAAUCUUCGGCAAUGGACGAAAGUCUGACCGAGCAACGCCGCGUGAGUGAAGAAGGUUUUCGGAUCGUAAAACUCUGUUGUUAGAGAAGAACAAGGACGUUAGUAACUGAACGUCCCCUGACGGUAUCUAACCAGAAAGCCACGGCUAACUACGUG